rnacentral:lncRNA from 1 species
UCAGCUUGUGGUGAAUGCUGUCAGGCUUGGGACUCACCCUUCAGGGCAAGAGGCUCCCCUCUGGCCCAGGGCAGGCUCAGAAAUCCCAUCCAAGAGCCAAAUCCUGGAAUCAGGGGCUCCAAGACCUUGCUUGGUGAUCUUCCCUACUGUGACCAAGCUUGUACCUAAGCUGCAAUCAAAAUCCUUUUUUAUUAUUAUGCCUCCUUUUCUCAGGCAGAAGGAGUCUCUUCUCAUAUCCACCAUGGCUGUGAAUAUGCUGGGUCACACCUGAAGCUAGCAAAUCUCAGAGUCUCACCCAAGGCCCAUGAUAGGGAAAGGGGAAGGCUUGAUCUGGGAAAGCUGGAGAAAGAAGACUGAAGGAUGGACUGGAUGACAUUGAUGCUAUUGCCUCAUGACAAAAUCUGAUGCAAGAGGAAGGCUACUAAGAAGCCAGCUCUACUUUUGACCAUCAGUGAUGAAAGAAUGAACCUUAAAGGGGAGGAGGACUAACAAUUCUUCAGGUGAGAAGAGGGAAGAAAGUUAGGAUGAAUCUGGAAGUGAGAUUUCAAGAUGGGGCAAGAAGAACUUCUGUUCACCUGUAAAAUAGAAAAAAAGAUAUUUUCAGUCUCACCAUUAUUUUCCAAGUGAGUUUUUUUUUUUCCUAUUACUAAACUGUACAAGGGCAGGAGCUGUGCCAUUUUAGUCUGUGAUCCUCCAAAGACUGUUAUAAUGGCUCAGCAGACACUCAAUAAAUAUUUGUUGAAUAAUCAGAGGCAAGUAAGACAUAAUAAACACAAAAACGUAGCAAAGCAAAUGCCAGGAGGAACUGGAGUUUAGUAGAAUAUUUAAUGAAAGUGCAAAAGACUUGCAAAAGUGCUUGGGAAUUAGGGAAGGAUAAAGAGGGUGUGACCCAAGCCUGGGGUUGCAAAUGACAUAUAGACAGCUUGACAUUUCUUCUCCCUUAUAAUUCAUUAAUCUCCAACAGGGAUCAUUUUCUAAAAAAAAAAUAUUGUUAUAGAUUCAAAGGGUAAAGUGGAAGUUUGUUACAUGGAUAGAUGACAAUGUAGUGGUUGGGUUUGGGCUUCUAUUGUACCCAUCACCCGAAUAGUGAAUAUUGUACCCAAAUAG